GACGAACGCUGGCGGCGUGCCUAAUACAUGCAAGUCGAACGCUUCUUUCCUCCCGAGUGCUUGCACUCAAUUGGAAAGAGGAGUGGCGGACGGGUGAGUAACACGUGGGUAACCUACCCAUCAGAGGGGGAUAACACUUGGAAACAGGUGCUAAUACCGCAUAACAGUUUAUGCCGCAUGGCAUAAGAGUGAAAGGCGCUUUCAGGUGUCGCUGAUGGAUGGACCCGCGGUGCAUUAGCUAGUUGGUGAGGUAACGGCUCACCAAGGCCACGAUGCAUAGCCGACCUGAGAGGGUGAUCGGCCACACUGGGACUGAGACACGGCCCAGACUCCUACGGGAGGCAGCAGUAGGGAAUCUUCGGCAAUGGACGAAAGUCUGACCGAGCAACGCCGCGUGAGUGAAGAAGGUUUUCGGAUCGUAAAACUCUGUUGUUAGAGAAGAACAAGGACGUUAGUAACUGAACGUCCCCUGACGGUAUCUAACCAGAAAGCCACGGCUAACUACGUG
rnacentral:rRNA from 1 species